UACGUGAGGGGGCAAGCGUUGUUCGGAAUUACUGGGCGUAAAGGGCGCGUAGGCGGCACGGCAAGUCAGGAGUGAAAGCCCUGGGCUCAACCCGGGACUGCUUUUGAAACUGCCGAGCUAGAGUGCGGAAGGGGCACUGGAAUUCCCAGUGGUAGCGGUGGAAAGUGACGUAGAUAUUGGGAAGAACACCUGAGGCGAAGGCGGUUGCUGGGCCGACACUGACGCUGAUGCGGCGAAAGCCAGGGGAGCAAACGGG
rnacentral:rRNA from 1 species